rnacentral:misc_RNA from 1 species
UAGCCGGUUACAUCUAUCUCUAACUUUGGAGAGAGAAUUUCUCUUAUUUCUUCCCGUUUCUCUUGAUGUCUCUUCUUUGUUGUACGACAGCCUUUCUCUGCCCCAUUCAAGCAGGGACGACUUUAUUCCCUAGUCCAAGAUGUGAGUUCCUUCUUUCUCACCUCCAAGUUGAGUUGUAUAUAGUGUGCAUGGUUUUUGCAUACAGGUUGGCCUUUGUCGAGAGGGACUCUGAAAAGACAUGCUUUGUGUGUGGUUGGUUCAAGACUUUGUAGCUGACUGACUGUCUCUAGGUUUGGCCGUGUAGGGUUUUCCUAUUGUUGUUGCAUUGUACCUCCGGGGUUCUUAGGCCAACCGUCUAGUGGCGGCUGACUCUUAAGGCUACAUGUGGAACUCGUAAUUUGGCAUUUGAUAUUGUGAUGUACUGUCAUUUUUACCUUAUUCAUGAUUUGUGUAUUAAAUUGUUCCUUUUCAAGACGUUAAGGGAAUCUUAUGAUCCGAUUGGGAAGCUUAGCCCUUG